UACGGAGGAUGCGAGCGUUAUCCGGAUUUAUUGGGUUUAAAGGGUGCGUAGGCGGCUUUUUAAGUCAGCGGUGAAAGGCUACGGCUCAACCGUAGUAAGCCUUUGAAACUGGGAAACUUGAGUGCAGGAGAGGAGAGUGGAAUUCCUAGUGUAGCGGUGAAAUGCGUAGAUAUUAGGAGGAACACCAGUUGCGAAGGCGGCUCUCUGGACUGUAAUUGACACUGAGGCACGAAAGCGUGGGGAGCAAACAGGAUUAGAUACCCCGGUAGUCCCUGAG
rnacentral:rRNA from 1 species